CAGGCUUAACACAUGCAAGUCGAGGGGUAUGGUUUUCGGACCAAGAGACCGGCGCACGGGUGCGUUAACGCGUAUGCAAUCUACCUUUUGCAGAGGGAUAGCCCAGAGAAAUUUGGAUUAAUACCUCAUAGUAUAGUACUUUGGCAUCAAGGAACUAUUAAAGUCCACAACGGCAAAGAUGAGCAUGCGUCCCAUUAGCUAGUUGGUAAGGUAACGGCUUACCAAGGCUACGAUGGGUAGGGGUUCUGAGAGGGAGAUCCCCCACACUGGUACUGAGACACGGACCAGACUCCUACGGGAGGCAGCAGUGAGGAAUAUUGGUCAAUGGGCGCAAGCCUGAACCAGCCAUGCCGCGUGCAGGAAGACGGUCCUAUGGAUUGUAAACUGCUUUUAUACAGGAAGAAACCCUCCCACGUGUGGGAGCUUGACGGUACUGUAGGAAUAAGGAUCGGCUAACUCCGUG
rnacentral:rRNA from 1 species